AAAGCCAUGUAAAGACGGCACUGAGUGUGUUUUAUACAGCCAUGUGUGUGACGGGGAAAGGGACUGUCGGGAUGGAUCAGAUGAGGUCGACUGUCGGACCGUAGCUUCUCCUGCAGCUCGGGUGAACAUCCUGAAGUGUCGCACAGGCUCGAAGCUGUGUAAAGACGGUACUGAGUGUGUUUUAUACAGCCAUGUGUGUGAUGGAGAAAAGGACUGUCGUGAUGGAUCAGAUGAAGAAGGAUGUGAUGCCACAGAAGAGAUCAUGACUCCAACAAAACCAAACAAAAUGCCACCUGCCACCAAACCUCCUGCUCCAACUGUGCCGGCCUGCAGCAGCCCAUCUGUGCUCUGCCCCAAUUCUGCUGCUCACCUCUGCAUUUCUCCAAGCCAGUUUUGCAACGGGCGUAAAGAUUGUCCCGAUGGCUUUGAUGAGCGGAACUGCGUCAAAAGAUGCCCCUCUAAAAAUGACUUCCGCUGCAAAGACCGUAGGAGCUGCAUUUCCAAAGAUCUGGUUUGUGACGGCCGCUCUCAUUGCCAUGAUGGCUCAGAUGAGGUCAACUGUCCAAGUGCAAGUCCUCCUGCAGCU